AUUCCAGCUCCAGUAGCGUAUAUUAAAGUUGUUGCAGUUAAAAAGCUCGUAGUUGGAUUUCUGACUUCAGAUACCUGACCCUCCCUCGCUAGAGGUGUGUGUGCCGGAGUAUUUGUAUCAUCCUUUCAGUGAUCGGCUCUACCCUUAACCGGGUCGGAGCUGCUAGCUGGGUCUUUUACUUUGAAGAAAUUGGAGUGUUUAAAGCAGGCUUACGCCAGAACAUAUUAGCAUGGAAUAAUAAUUUAGGACUUUUGUUCUAUUUUGUUGGUUUCUAGGACGAAAGUAAUGAUUGAUAGGGAUAGUUGGGGGUGCUAGUAUUCGGCGGCCAGAGGUGAAGUUCUUUGAUCCGCUGAAGACUAACUUAUGCGAAAGCAUUCACCAAGGAUGUCUUCAUUA
rnacentral:rRNA from 1 species